rnacentral:lncRNA from 1 species
AAAAAGGUUAAAAGUGUGAUUUUUAAUAAAAAAUUAUUGGCACAAGUCCAUCAUUAUAUAUUACUUCAUACUAAUAUAGUAUCUUAGUAUCACAAGUUAGUAUAUUCAUAUAUUGAUUUUUUUUAUUGUCAUUAUAUAUAAUACUCUUAAUCAAUGAAUUAAUUUUCUUGUAGUGAAAUUGCUUAAAGACAAGUAAAACAUAGUAUUUGACCAAAUCUAAUGAUUAAGC